UGAUUUGAGUCAUCUCACUGCACAGCA
rnacentral:piRNA from 1 species